rnacentral:piRNA from 1 species
AACGAUGACCCUAAAUUUCUGAUC